rnacentral:rRNA from 1 species
AAUAGAUACCCUGGUAGUCCACGCCGUAAACGAUGAGUGCUAAGUGUUAGAGGGUUUCCGCCCUUUAGUGCUGCAGCUAACGCAUUAAGCACUCCGCCUGGGGAGUACGGUCGCAAGACUGAAACUCAAAGGAAUUGACGGGGGCCCGCACAAGCGGUGGAGCAUGUGGUUUAAUUCGAAGUAACGCGAAGAACCUUACCAGGUCUUGACAUCCUCUGACAACUCUAGAGAUAGAGCGUUCCCCUUCGGGGGACAGAGUGACAGGUGGUGCAUGGUUGUCGUCAGCUCGUGUCGUGAGAUGUUGGGUUAAGUCCCGCAACGAGCGCAACCCUUGAUCUUAGUUGCCAGCAAGUCAUGUCGGGGACUCUAGCGAGACUGCCGGUGUUAAACCGGAGGAAGGUGGGGUGACGUCAAAUCAUCAUGCCCCUUAUGACCUGGGCUACACACGUGCUACAAUGGAUGGUACAAAGGGUCGCGAAACCGCGAGGUGGAGCUAAUCCCAAAAAACCGNUUCUCAGUUCGGAUUGCAGG